GAUUGUUACGUCUAAAAAGAAAGGUUUAAGAGGCAACAGAUCAGGAGUUUAAGUGAUGAACAGGAGGAAAGCAGAAGGAGAGUGAGGGUACUUGAGGCACAGCUCUUAAGCUCGUGAAGAUGUUCCUACACAAGUAGAGUGUGAUGAAAACCAUGGACUUCUAGUUCUGGAGAAGGCUUUUAUGUAGCCCCUGCCUGUUCCAGAAGAGGCUCCAGAAUGUGAUGUCCUUGCACAGAGAUGGGGGUGAAGGAAGUGUUGAAGGUUACCUCAGAGGACUCUGUCCUCCUCACGUUUCCAAACAGAAGUUUGAGAUUCCUACCUCUUCUCUCCUGAAGGAUGGGACCUGUUUUUCUAGCAGUGAAUGUGCUGCAGCAUCUGCAAAAUUUUCCUUGCAGGAUUAGAAAUAUGAAAUCUGUGCCCUUGAAGAGAAGGAAAUUCCCUGCUUUCCUGCAAGAAGCUCCACAGGCGUCUUGGUUUGGACCUUGCAGAACCUGCCUGGUGCUGUGAUAAUGGACUUUGAAAGUUUUGGCAUGGUUAAAUUAGAAGUUACUUGAGGUCAUUUCGGAAGCUCUAAUGGCUCCCUGUGACUGCACAGCUGGUCUGAUGAUAACAGAAGCACAGACUUUGCAGGUGAAAUAUGAAAAACGAUGAUCAUAAAAUGAGACUAUUCCUCAGGCUUUUCUUCCCAAGCCUCAGAUUCUGCUUAAGAAAAGUUUGUGGAAAAGUAAAGUUGGGAUUUCUAAGUCAUGUACACCAAAGAGAAGCUAUACCUAUGUGAUAAUUACUUCUUCCCUUAUGUAUGUUCAUUGUGACACAAUUUCCAGUUACAUUCCACACAGAGUUUUGUAUAUGUGUGUGUAUGUACAUCUCCCUCACUUGCUUGCAGUGUCUCUGCACCUUUGGCCUGUUACAACUUCGGUGUGCAUGCUAGUGAAAAUGAAAGGUGUGAAGCAAUAAGGCAAGGUCCUUAAAAUGUCUCAUGCUAAAAGUAAGCAAGACCUAUAUUUGAAUCUGUUACAGGGCUCUUCCAUGAAGCUGCAAGAGUAACCUGAGCCUGGUGUCCAGAGCCCCCUGCUCUGGUCUUUUCCAUAAGCUGGAUGUCUCAGGUUGGACACUGGUUGAUUUUUACUUCAGGUUGAUUUUGACCUUAAUCUCACUGUGCCCAUUUCCUGUCUGAUCCCUCUAUGACAAGGAAAAAUGCAGAAAUUCACUGAUGCCUACCAAGCACUAGGAGAUUAGUGAAGAGCACCACGAAGAAAUGAAUCACUCCAUGCCUGAGCAGAGUUUGGCUGGGAUCCCAGCAAAAUGGCACAGGGCCAUGCUGAAUGAGAAAUGUAAAGGGGAAUCACUGAGUUACCCGUUCACUGAGCACUAUCCUGAGUGCAUCCUAGAUGCACGAUACACAGAAAGUCUUAAUUCUUCCAAAUUCCUGUGUGCUUGCCUCAGCUACCCAACCCUCUCUGAAUGCUGUGAGCAUCUCAGUUCUGCAUCCCUUUGCCUUGGUCUGCCAAAUAUGUUAAGGGAUGGGAGAUCCAUAACCUCUGGGUCAGGUUGUUGAGACUUAACUUGUAUGACACAACAGAGAAGGAAGAAUUCUCACUGGUGCCAAAUCGGAUACCAGUGAGUACUUUGGCUCUGAGUUUUCAUCAAUAUUUUCCUCAAUUUUUAUUUUUAUAUCAAAAGCAACAACUUUUGUUGGGCUUUUAUUGAUUUUCUGUCUGUCAAACCACUUUUUCAAAUUUCUAAAGGGAAAAGAAACAAAAGAUAAAGAAAUAGGAAAGAAGCUGUAAUGUAUUCCCUCUUCACACUUUUUUUUUUUUUUCCCUCCUAAGUAUUCUUGGUAUUGCCAGCUAUUACCUUGGUUAUUGUCAGCUGUUUAAAACCUCUAUGUGCAGAGUUAUUUCCUCCUUUCUGAAGUCUGUAGUCAAAAAAAAACCAAGUAAUUCUGUCAUAUGUCGAAGAUGAUCUCUAGCACGCCCCUGGUGAGUUCAGAACUCAGAUUUCACCUGAAUGGCGAAGGGACAGUGGGCUUAGAGAUGCUUGCCUCAUACCAAUUUUCAGUGAGUCCCAUGCACGCUUCUUGGGCAGGUUUUUGGAACAAAUAAAAGAGAAUGAUCUUAUAUUACUCCCCACUGAGGAGAAGAAAGGUGCACAGUGGGCCUACCUGUUGUCUCACUCUAGUGUGUGGCAGCAGACAUGCUUUAACCACGGUGCAAGAUUUUUUGAGGAACUCCUGCCUCAUCAGAUACCAAAAGGUAUUUUCUAUUGUGUUCUAAUGUGCAGAUUCUCUGGGUUUCAGUGAGCAAAUUCUGCCUGCUUUACUUGCAGACAGCAUGCCUCAGACUUCUCCCCUGUUUCCCACAUGAGUCUCUGUUUCAGCAAUAUACCCCUAAGUCACAAGACACAAAUCCCUCGGAAACCAACCACUGCUAGUUUUGGAGAUCAUAGACUGAUGUGUGCAAAUCCCAUUGCUUACAACUAAAACUUGUGCUCACUCUGAUUACUGUUUUCAGACUGGGAAGUUUUCUGUGUGCAUUUGGGCUAGAAAACAGCUCUGA